UUCUUGGUGGUCCAGUGGCUAAGACUCUGGGCCUCCAACGCAGGGGGCCCAGGUUCAAUCCCUGGUCAGGGAA
rnacentral:tRNA from 1 species